rnacentral:rRNA from 1 species
AUUGAACGCUGGCGGCAGGCCUAACACAUGCAAGUCGAGCGCGCGGCGCACGGGUGUGUAUUGUCUGGGAAACUGCCCGAUGGAGGGGGAUAACUACUGGAAACGGUAGAUAUUAUCCCACACCAUCAGAUGUGCCCAGAUGGGAUUGGCUAGUAGGUGGGGUAAAGGCUCACCUAGGCGACGAUCCCUAGCUGGUCUGAGAGGAUGACCAGACAAACUGGAACUGAGACACGGUCCAGACUCCGACGGGAGGCAGCAGUGGGGAAUAUUGCACAAUGGGCGCAAGCCUGAUGCAGCCAUGCCGCGUGUGUGAAGAAGGCCUUCGGGUUGUAAAGUACUUUCAGCGGGGAGGCGUUACCCGCAGAAGAAGCACCGGCUAACUCCGUGCCAGCAGCCGCGGUAAUUC